UACGUAGGGGGCAAGCGUUGUCCGGAAUCAUUGGGCGUAAAGCGCGUGUAGGCGGCUCGGUAAGUCUGCUGUGAAAGUCCAGGGCUCAACCCUGGGAUGCCGGUGGAUACUGUCGAGCUCGAGUCCGGAAGAGGCGAGUGGAAUUCCUGGUGUAGCGGUGAAAUGCGUAGAUAUCAGGAGGAAUACCGGUGGCGAAAGCGACUCUCUGGACGGCAACUGACGCUGAGGCACGAAAGCGUGGGGAGCAAACAGG
rnacentral:rRNA from 1 species